UGACUCUGGGAUAAGCGUUGGAAACGACGUCUAAUACUGGAUAUGAUCACUGGCCGCAUGGUCUGGUGGUGGAAAGAUUUUUUGGUUGGGGAUGGACUCGCGGCCUAUCAGCUUGUUGGUGAGGUAAUGGCUCACCAAGGCGACGACGGGUAGCCGGCCUGAGAGGGUGACCGGCCACACUGGGACUGAGACACGGCCCAGACUCCUACGGGAGGCAGCAGUGGGGAAUAUUGCACAAUGGGCGAAAGCCUGAUGCAGCAACGCCGCGUGAGGGAUGACGGCCUUCGGGUUGUAAACCUCUUUUAGUAGGGAAGAAGCGAGAGUGACGGUACCUGCAGAAAAAGCACCGGCUAACUACGUGCCAGCAGCCGCGGUAAUACGUAGGGUGCAAGCGUUGUCCGGAAUUAUUGGGCGUAAAGAGCUCGUAGGCGGUUUGUCGCGUCUGCUGUGAAAUCCCGAGGCUCAACCUCGGGCUUGCAGUGGGUACGGGCAGACUAGAGUGCGGUAGGGGAGAUUGGAAUUCCUGGUGUAGCGGUGGAAUGCGCAGAUAUCAGGAGGAACACCGAUGGCGAAGGCAGAUCUCUGGGCCGUAACUGACGCUGAGGAGCGAAAGCGUGGGGAGCGAACAGGAUUAGAUACCCUGGUAGUCCACGCCGUAAACGUUGGGCGCUAGAUGUAGGGACCUUUCCACGGUUUCUGUGUCGUAGCUAACGCAUUAAGCGCCCCGCCUGGGGAGUACGGCCGCAAGGCUAAAACUCAAAGGAAUUGACGGGGGCCCGCACAAGCGGCGGAGCAUGCGGAUUAAUUCGAUGCAACGCGAAGAACCUUACCAAGGCUUGACAUACACCGGAAACGGCCAGAGAUGGUCGCCCCCUUGUGGUCGGUGUACAGGUGGUGCAUGGUUGUCGUCAGCUCGUGUCGUGAGAUGUUGGGUUAAGUCCCGCAACGAGCGCAACCCUCGUUCUAUGUUGCCAGCGCGUUAUGGCGGGGACUCAUAGGAGACUGCCGGGGUCAACUCGGAGGAAGGUGGGGAUGACGUCAAAUCAUCAUGCCCCUUAUGUCUUGGGCUUCACGCAUGCUACAAUGGCCGGUACAAAGGGCUGCGAUACCGUAAGGUGGAGCGAAUCCCAAAAAGCCGGUCUCAGUUCGGAUUGAGGUCUGCAACUCGACCUCAUGAAGUCGGAGUCGCUAGUAAUCGCAGAUCAGCAACGCUGCGGUGAAUACGUUCCCG
rnacentral:rRNA from 1 species